ACCGGGAUUGCCCUAGUAACGGCGAGUGAAGCGGCAACAGCUCAAAUUUGAAAUCUGGCUCUUUUAGAGUCCGAGUUGUAAUUUGCAGAGGGCGCUUUGGCUUUGGCAGCGGUCCAAGUUCCUUGGAACAGGACGUCACAGAGGGUGAGAAUCCCGUACGUGGUCGCUGGCUAUUGCCGUGUAAAGCCCCUUCGACGAGUCGAGUUGUUUGGGAAUGCAGCUCUAAAUGGGAGGUACAUUUCUUCUAAAGCUAAAUAUUGGCCAGAGACCGAUAGCGCACAAGUAGAGUGAUCGAAAGAUGAAAAGCACUUUGGAAAGAGAGUCAAACAGCACGUGAAAUUGUUGAAAGGGAAGCGCUUGCAGCCAGACUUGCUUGCAGUUGCUCAUCCGGGCUUUUGCCCGGUGCACUCUUCUGCAGGCAGGCCAGCAUCAGUUUGGGCGGUAAGAUAAAGGUCUCUGUCACGUACCUCUCUUCGGGGAGGCCUUAUAGGGGAGACGACAUAUUACCAGCCUGGACUGAGGUCCGCGCAUCUGCUAGGAUGCUGGCGUAAUGGCUGUAAGCGGCCCGUCUUGAAACACGGACCAAGGAGUCUAACAUCUAUGCGAGUGUUUGGGUGUCAAGCCCGAGCGCGUAAUGAAAGUGAACGGAGGUAGGAACCCGCAAGGGUGCACUAUCGACCGAUCCUGAUGUCUUCGGAAGGAUUUGAGUAAGAGCAUGGCUGUUGGGACCCGAAAGAUGGUGAACUAUGCUUGAAUAGGGUGAAGCCAGAGGAAACUCUGGUGGAGGCUCGCAGCGGUUCUGACGUGCAAAUCGAUCGUCAAAUUUGGGCAUAGGGGCGAAAGACUAAU
rnacentral:rRNA from 2 species